UGGGGCUUCCUGGAGUUCUAGAUCAAGGAGAAAAAGGGAGUAGAAGAGAGAAAAAUGAUUCUUCUCAUGGGUCUCUCCUUUGGAUUCUUUUAGGGCUCAAGAUCUUCUAUGAUUUUUAGUAUAAAAAAUUAGAUUAGAUCUAAGUUUUAUCAUAAAAAAUCAGAGAAGAAAAGUUCUUCUUAAGGGUGUGAAAGAAAGAGAGAAAGAUUCUCUCUUAUGCAUGGAAAAAUUGAGAA
rnacentral:lncRNA from 1 species